CGAUCUCAAAUCAGGUAGGACUACCCGCUGAACUUAAGCAUAUCAAUAAGCGGAGGAAAAGAAACUAACAAGGAUUCCCCUAGUAACUGCGAGUGAAGCGGGAAGAGCUCAAAUUUAAAAUCUGGCGUGCCUCUGGUCGUCCGAGUUGUAGUCUGGAGAAGCGUGAACCGUGUUGGACCGUGUAUAAGUCUCUUUCCGGGCGUCAAGGAGGGUGAGAAUCC
rnacentral:rRNA from 1 species